rnacentral:rRNA from 1 species
AGUCGAGCGGACGGAUGGGAGCUUGCUCCCUGAAGUCAGCGGCGGACGGGUGAGUAACACGUGGGCAACCUGCCUGUAAGACUGGGAUAACUUCGGGAAACCGGAGCUAAUACCGGAUAAUGCACNGCCUCUCAUGAGGCUAUGCUGAAAGAUGGUUUCGGCUAUCACUUACAGAUGGGCCCGCGGCGCAUUAGCUAGUUGGUGAGGUAACGGCUCACCAAGGCAACGAUGCGUAGCCGACCUGAGAGGGUGAUCGGCCACACUGGGACUGAGACACGGCCCAGACUCCUACGGGAGGCAGCAGUAGGGAAUCUUCCGCAAUGGACGAAAGUCUGACGGAGCAACGCCGCGUGAGUGAUGAAGGUUUUCGGAUCGUAAAACUCUGUUGUCAGGGAAGAACAAGUGCCGGAGUAACUGCCGGCACCUUGACGGUACCUGACCAGAAAGCCACGGCUAACUACGUGCCAGCAGCCGCGGUAAUACGUAGGUGGCAAGCGUUGUCCGGAAUUAUUGGGCGUAAAGCGCGCGCNNNNNGUCUCUUAAGUCUGAUGUGAAAGC